rnacentral:sRNA from 1 species
GCUUUGUAGCUUUGAGACUUUGAAGAAUCUUGAAGCUAACAAAGGUGA